GUUGUUUAAUUAAAUUCCACUUUUUGCAAUUUAAUAACCACACUAGGCUAUAGUGCCAUUUUGAUUUUUUUUUUUUUCCCCGAUUCUUUUCUGUAGCCCUACUAGAAAACUUGCUGUAAGACAGAAUCAUUUACUCAAGAGUACAACCUUUUGUGUCUAAACCUCUUCAGCAGUAGCUGAGUUAAUUUAAAGUCAAAGACCAGUUGUACUUAACCUUUAAGCACGUAAAUGAAACUGUUUGGGGGUUGAUGCUCAGUUUAGAUGAAGAGAACAGGAAGCCAGAGAUAAGUCCUGGCAGGCGUUCACAUUGACCUUGUUUGAGCAGGCGGCUGUAAUUAAGACGCUAGCUGGAAACCUGACUCCAGUGUGACGCAGCCUGAGGCUGGCUGCAGAAGUGGAGGUCGGAAAAAGAAAUGCGAUUCUCGUCGGCUCAGUGGCUGCACUCGAUAGUGCUGCCAAGGCCGAGGUUAGCCCACUAAUUCGUCCAAAUGAGCGCCCUUAUUCAUGGUAUCUUUAUACAUGCAGACACACUCACAUAAACACACAUACCAAUGUUCCCGCAGACCAGAGAGAAGUGGAGAGUUAUGAGGGCUUUGGUUUUCCUGGGACAGAGGAGAGCUGAGUAUGAUGUCGGCCAUUGAUCUGUUGUGAGUUCCUGUGGCGGAAUAUUAAAGACAGAGUGUAUUGGAAAACCAGAUGCUACGUGGCCUUACAUAACGAUCCCUUCCAUGAACAAGAAGCCAUUUGUCAAGAUCCCAUUUAAUGCAGCUCAGAAGCAGCUCAUAUGUCGGGAGAAAAUGACGACUGCUAUGUUCAUUAUUACAUCCAACAACAAAACACCUCAGUUGCUUAAUUUGGGACAUUCUUUUCUUCCCCUGCACCGGAGUCGACACAAUGGUGGACAGCUCAUAGCUCACUCAGGGCGGGUCUAAGGUAAGUCGGCCUUGUCAAUCAUGUGAGCGGCCUGUGCAGAACUACAUAAUUCUGAGAGGAAUCUCAGAACAGCCUUAUUUGAGAAAGGGGAUUUUAAAAAACUGGGUGGAUUUUUAUGAUUAUAGGAUGGAUGUGUACACACACUUCCAACACACAUUUAUGUUCAAACAACACAUAAAGUGAGUUUUGCAUCCGAUGACCCCUUUAACUAAAAUAUGUAAAUGAUGAUCAUAUGCCAGUCACCCUGAAUGAUAUAUGCAUUAGCUCAAUAAUACACCCAGGGUGAACUUUUUGCAUGUUUGACACAGACAAUCUUUAAAAAAAAAAAAAAAAACAGGUUGACACCUAAUCUAUGUCACCCCUGUUACCCAAAUGUCAAAACCUGUUAUAGUAACAGGGCCGACAGUAACAGGUUUGACAAUUUCAAAUGAAUUAGCUAAUGUAAUGUAAUAAAUAAUUGUUUAAAUUUACAUUUUAAAAAUGGUAACAGUAUUGACAUUGUAUGACGUCCCCCCUCAGACAAUCCUCAUAAAUAAUAAAAAAUAGAAUAUUAAAGAGGAGUGAGAGAAACAUGCUUGUGUUUUAAGUGUUGGAAUCUUGGUUGAGAGAUGGUGUUACUUCUUAAAAGUGACGUCACUGAAUGUACCAUUACUUUAAAAGGUUGUUGUUGUUUUUAAUGAGGAUAACAGGGCUGACAUAAAAUCAGGGAACACCAAUAAAAUGAUUUAUAUUUUAUAGGAAAAAAGUGUAUAUUUAUGCCAAAAACAUUGCUUAACAAAUAUACUGUAUUUAUAACAAUAUGCAAACGUUAUUUUUGUAUAAUUUUGCCUUUAUUUUCCAAAUUAAAAGUCUUGCUGAAAAAUUAAAAUCAUAGUGAGCGAUUCACUUGCAUGCAUUGUGGUAUGUUGUGAACACACAUCGGAGACUAACAUAGAAGAGAAUAAAUUGUUGAAUAAAGUUCCUUGCACACAAAAAGUUUUUCGUAGCUUUAUAAAAUUAAGAUUGAAGCACUGAUAUAUAUAUGACUGGAUCGCUCAUCGCAUUCUAAACUGCCAAAAGGCAGUGAAGCCACCGGAAGUGUUCGAUCCGCCAUCUUACUAAUCCCUACCGACAGAGAGCACCAUUGAGUCACAUUCAAACCGCUGUCCUAAAAUCACCCGAUUUGAAGCAAAUCAGUAAAACAGGACUAGUUUUUAUGUUAUGUGUAUGUAAAUUAAUGUUUACUUCAGAUGUUAUCUGCAGUGUUUACGGUCUUUUGGGGUAGGAUAAGCGAUAUAUUUAAACCGUUUAGGUGGGUGUGUCUGCUGCGCACUGAUGACACAGGUAAUGAUCCAACACAAAAUAUAGCCUAUUUCUUUAUGAACAUAAUUAUUCAGGAAUUAUUAAACAUGAACGUAUUAGUAUCAGAAAUGGAUUUGAAUAUAUUACAAUGAAUAAUACAAUUAUGUUGUUAAUGUUGCUCUAUAAUGAAAUGAAAAGCUUAACUUACUAUCUUGGAAAUAAAGCUUUAUAUCUUUAAAUCCGUACUGUAUAUAGUCAGUUAUUUCUCUGAAUAAAUUCAGAUUUCAGAAUGAGCACUUUGUCGUUUGUUUUAUAUGUUGAGGUCAUGUCCGUCUGAUGUUUAUCAUGUUCAUGAUGUUCGCUAUUGUAAUGAACGUAGGUUUUUAAUAAAUAGGGGAAAUUCCCGACAUUUAAAGAAAUAACCGUUUACAUGCCUAGGGUGUUUGCAUUGUAAUAAUGCACAGAAAUACUUAAGAUUUAUAAAUGCUGACUUUUUUGUGAUGUUUUCUCAUUAAAAUCAUACAAUUUCCUAUUAAUUAAAUAGAACGAUUAUGCACACUAGGGAUUACCAAUAUGCUCGUGGCGGCUUCAAGGCUUCAAGGUCUUAUGGGUUUGGAUGGAAUGACAUGAGGAUGAAUAAUUAAGGAAAACAAUUUUCAUUUUUGGAUGAACUAACCCUCUAAAGGGAAAAAAAAAAUAAUAAUAACAACAACAACAACAAUAAUAAUAAUAAUAAUAAUAAUAAUAAUAAUAAUAAUAAUAAUAAUAAUAAUAAUAAAAGGAGUCUUGUGUCUGGGACCAGAGACAUUCCAAAUGACAAAUGCCAUUUUUUGUGUCCUUCUCUGCAGAAAGGGAAUGAUAUUGUUAGGGUCAUUCCAAAUGAAAGUGAAUAGUACUUCCUUUAUGAAAAGCACUACCACAAGACCAUUAGCAAAAUGCACAUAAAAUGGUGACUUGAAGCAAGUCAAACAGGUCACUUUGCAUUUCACAGUAGAUACUGGGUGACAACUUUAUUUCAGUUCUACUCUGAGAGUCAAGCUGAUCAUAUUCCUUACUUCAUAUACUGUAGGUUGAGCCUUCACUGAGUCAGAUAUAAUGAUAUUCACUUUGCAAUGGAACUGGCAAUUGUGCUGAAACAUUUGACUUUCUGAUGCCACAGAACAAUGAAGACCAUGUAACAAUGCAAGAUUUCACAGGAUUCAAUGGGAUCAACCUGUAAUUUCAUCUUGGUACAUUUAUUAUUGCACAAAGGAAGCUGAGAAUGUUGGCUUGCCUGCCCCCAUGACACCCAUGCGGAGAAAGGGCAGCCAAAGAAGGGGCAUUUAGAAUCCUUUGACCCCUUUCACUGUGAGAAAAAUUCUUCAUUCACAAUCUGGUAUUUUUUUCCACAGCACUGCAGUCAGAUCAGGACCGCCAUCACUGCAACUCUUUGUCCC
ensembl:lncRNA